rnacentral:rRNA from 1 species
UAGGGAAUUUUCCACAAUGGGGGCAACCCUGAUGGAGCAACGCCGCGUGCAGGAUGAAGGCUUUCGGGUCGUAAACUGCUUUUGUCUAUGAAGAUUAUGACGGUAAUAGACGAAUAAGGGUCUGCUAACUACGUGCCAGCAGCCGCGGUCAUACGUGGGACCCAAGCGUUAUCCGGAAUUACUGGGCGUAAAGAGUUGCGUAGGUGGCAGAGUAAGCAGGUAGUGAAAUGACGAGGCUCAACCUCGUGCCCAUUACCUGAACUGCUCAGCUUGAGGAUGAGAGAGGUUAUUGGAAUUUCUAGUGUAGGAGUGAAAUCCGUAGAUAUUAGAAGGAACACCGAUGGCGUAGGCAGAUAACUGGCUCAUUCCUGACACUAAGGCACGAAAGCGUGGGGAGCGAACG